CCUACGGGAGGCAGCAGUGAGGAAUAUUGGUCAAUGGGCGAGAGCCUGAACCAGCCAAGUCGCGUGAGGGAGUACUGCCCUAUGGGUUGUAAACCUCUUUUAUAAAGGAAUAAAGUGAGGCACGUGUGCCUUUUUGUAUGUACUUUAUGAAUAAGGAUCGGCUAACUCCGUGCCAGCAGCCGCGGUAAUACGGCGGAUCCGAGCGUUAUCCGGAUUUAUUGGGUUUAAAGGGAGCGUAGAUGGGUUGUUAAGUCAGUUGUGAAAGUUUGCGGCUCAACCGUAAAAUUGCAAUUGAUACUGGCAGCCUUGAGUACAGUUGAGGUAGGCGGAAUUCGUGGUGUAGCGGUGAAAUGCUUAGAUAUCACGAAGAACUCCGAUUGCGAAGGCAGCUUACUAAACUGCCACUGACAUUGAUGCUCGAAAGUGUGGGUAUCAAACAGGAUUAGAUACCCUAGUAGUC
rnacentral:rRNA from 1 species